rnacentral:lncRNA from 1 species
AUAGGAGUUCAUUUUGUGAAGCUGUCACGAGUUUUCCAGUAGACCAUGAGCUUGCUGAUGGCAGGAGCCUGCCUGUCCUUGAUCCUUGUUUCUGUGGGGUCUAUCCCAGUGCCUGGCACAGUGGCUUUGGAGAUGGAAGGAAUAGAGGGAGAGCAGAUCCUCAAACACAGCCUGCAUCUCUCCCUGCUCCCCUCCCACCCUCCAGUUUUCCAGCCAGAGGCAUUUGCUCUAAGGCCCAGGCUGUGGCCCACCUAUCACCGCUACCCAAGUAGUACAGGAAAAGGAAAUUUGAAGAGGAAAAGAGGCACCAGGGAUGAGGACACACCGAGAAAAGACCAUGUGAAGACAUGGCGAGAAGACAGCCAGCUGCAAGCCAAGGAGUGAGGCCUCAGAAGAAACCAACCCUGCCGACACCUUGACCUUGGACUUCUAGUCUCUAGAAUUAUGCGAAAAUAAAUUCCUGUUGUUUAA